rnacentral:tRNA from 1 species
GCGGGCGUAGUUCAAUGGUAGAACGGCAGCUUCCCAAGCUGCAUACGCGGGUUCGAUUCCCGCCGUCCGCUCCA